AUACGGAGGAUCCGAGCGUUAUCCGGAUUUAUUGGGUUUAAAGGGUGCGCAGGCGGCCAUUUAAGUCAGCGGUUAAAUCGUGGGGCUCAACCCCAUUCUGCCGUUGAUACUGGGUGGCUUGAUUGCGGUCGAGGUUGGCGGAAUUCGUUGUGGAGCGGUGAAAUGCAUAGAUAUGACGAAGAACACCGAUUGCGUAGGCAGCUGACCAGACCGCAAAUGACGCUCAUGCACGAAAGUGCGGGGAUCGAACAGGAUUAGAUACCCUGGUAGUCCGCACAGUAAACGAUGAAUACUUGUUUUCGGCGAUAUAAUGUCGGAGGCAAAGCGAAAGCGAUAAGUAUUCCACCUGGGGAGUACGCCGGCAACGGUGAAACUCAAAGGAAUUGGCGGGG
rnacentral:rRNA from 1 species